rnacentral:rRNA from 1 species
CAUCCCCUACGGGGCGCAGCAGUAGGGAAUAUUGCUCAAUGGGGGAAACCCUGAAGCAGCAACGCCGCGUGGAGGAUGAAGGUUUUCGGAUUGUAAACUCCUUUUGUUAGAGAAGAUAAUGACGGUAUCUAACGAAUAAGCACCGGCUAACUCCGUGCCAGCAGCCGCGGUAAUACGGAGGGUGCAAGCGUUACUCGGAAUCACUGGGCGUAAAGAGCGCGUAGGAGGGAUAGCAAGUCAGAUGUGAAAUCCUAUGGCUUAACCAUAGAACUGAAUUUGAAAAUGUUAUUCUAGAGUAUGGGAGG